GCUCUUAUUGUUCUUGCUGGUGUGGUAUGUUCACGGCUGAAAAGAUGGUCAGAAGGGGAAAGGAGGAAGUGAGAAGAAAGAAACAGGGAAAUGGCUGGAGUGCGAUGGCAUGAUCUUGGCUCACGGCAAACUCCGCCUCCCUGGUUCAAGUGAUUCUCCUGCCUCAGCCUCCCGAGUAGCCGGGAUUACAGGCAUGUGCCACCAUGCCCCGUUGGCCAGGCUGGUCUCGAACACCUUACCUCAGGUGAUCCUCCCACCUUUGGGAUUACAGGCUGAGGAAUUACCAAGGAGGCAGGAGGUGGAGCAAAACACACCAAGCCUGGUGCCAAUCAUUGACAAUAUUAUGACCCUGCAUGUGAUGGAUCAGCUGACACCAUCCAGAUCGGUAAACUGGUUCAUCUGAUCUUGUGCCCUCCACCCAGGAACUGACUCAGCGCAAGAAGACAGCUUCGACUCCUUGUGAUUUCAUCCCUAACCAAUCAGCACUCCUGGCUCACUGGCUUCCCCCAACCCACCAAAUUGUCCUUAAAAACUCUGCUCUCCAAACGCUGGGGGAGACUGAUUUGAGUAAUAAUAAAACCCUGGUCUCCUGCA
rnacentral:lncRNA from 1 species